rnacentral:lncRNA from 1 species
CAGGGCAGCUCAGCCGGUCUGGCAGGGGGCCAGGAGGGAAAGGAAGACACAGCCUUCCCAGAACUGCUGCCCAGUGAGGGUUCCCGGAACCAGUGGCCACAUCAGCUGCCCCACCCAAAACAGAGGCUGGCCAGGCCAGGGCCCCGAGAUGGCCUGGGCUCUGCCUGCCUGCCCCACUCCCAACCCGAGAAGGGAGGGGAGGGGUUGCUGGUUGGAGGGCUGCUUCUGCUGCCACCAGGAGCAAGAAUCACCUCACUCAAGAGCCUGCCAGGCUCCCUGUGUACCUACUGUGUGCUCCAGGCCUCACCAGGCUCCCUGUGUGCCUACUGUGUGCUCCCGUCCCCACCAGGCUCCCUGUGUACUUACUGUGUGCUCCUGUCCUCACCAGGCUUCCCGUGUACCUACUGUGUGCUCCUGUCCUCACCAGGCCCCUGUACCUACUGUGUGCUCCUGUCCUCACCAGGACAAGUGACAAAGCCAAGGUCACAGAGUUAGGAAGCAGCAGAGUUGGGGAAGUCUGAGCCAAGAAGAGAGCAGAAGCACCCAGAGGUGCGGCAGGAGACACUUAACUCACUCUUUGAUCUGGGGAGAUGAGCGGUGAGUCCUGAAGUGUCAGAAGCCAGCAGGGGUAUGGAAGCGGCCGUCUGCCCGACCCGUCUGCCCGUCCUGAGCCCAGCGGGGUGCACAGGCCUCCUACUCCUCUUUCCUCUCUGGGCUGCGACCCAGUGAAGGGAGGGGUGGUGGUGGAGGGGGUGGAUCAGCGGACAGGAUGCAGCCAGCCCCGUGACAAGGAGCACGUGGAGAGGGAGCCCAGGACAGCAGGGCCGUGGGGGGACCUCCCCUGGGAGCUGCUGACUCCUGAAACUUCACAAUCUGAAGCUGGCCGGCAGCUUCCCUUGCUCUCCGGGGCAGCUCAGCCGGUCUGGCAGGGGGCCAGGAGGGAAAGGAAGACACAGCCUUCCCAGAACUGCUGCCCAGUGAGGGUUCCCGGAACCAGUGGCCACAUCAGCUGCCCCACCCAAAACAGAGGCUGGCCAGGCCAGGGCCCCGAGAUGGCCUGGGCUCUGCCUGCCUGCCCCACUCCCAACCCGAGAAGGAGGGAGGGGUUGCUGGUUGAGGGCUGCUUCUGCUGCCACCAGGAGCAAGAAUCACCUCACUCAAGAGCCUGCCAGGCUCCCUGUGUACCUACUGUGUGCUCCAGGCCUCACCAGGCUCCCUGUGUGCCUACUGCAUGCUG